rnacentral:tRNA from 1 species
GGAAGGAUAGUUUAAGUUUAGAAUGGUACUUUUGUAAAGUAUUGGUGUUAUUUUCUUCUUCUU